CGAUCGACGAUCAUGUGUAUGAUCGAUAUUCCUCUAAAAUCAUCGAUCGACACUUAUAUCUGGCCAAUAGAAAAACCAAGAAAGAAAACACCGAUCGGUUUGUUUAUAAGUGUUUGAGCUCUAUAAUAUCAUGCAUACAACUUGUUAGACAUCUGUAGGAUUAUAAUCCUGAUUUCCUGAAUAGAAACCCUAAGUCUAGCUAUUUCAUAUAAGUACCAAAAACCCAAUCAAAUCAAUCGAGCAACUGCCUUGCUCACAAACAUGCUAUUUACAUCAUAAUCAACCUAGCUUAAUCACUCUGAUUAGUUUUAUUAGGUUCCCUAGCUCCAUGUGAAUUUGAUCCCUAAAUACUACAACUGAACCUCUUAUUUGAAAGAGUAAUUCACUUCUUAGGGUAAUGUGAGUGAGAUCAGGCCCUCA
rnacentral:lncRNA from 1 species